CACACACACGCACACACACACACACACACACACACACACACACACCCAUCCCCGGCUGUGGGGUCGGCGCGCAUGCGCGGCCCUUGGCUGGGCCCGGGCGCACCUUUUCUCCCUCCUGCCACAUUGUGAGCGCUCAGCCGCGCAGAUAACUGCCGGCUGCCUGCUCCACCCCCGGCCCUCGCCCACUCCGCCCACUGCCGAGCGCCCAGGUGGAGAGGAUAUCUUCAAGCAGAAUGGGAGAAAGUAAGCACAUGUAAUAAAAUUGAAUUCAGUGUAAGAAUGAACUUGAGGUCUGCUGAACUCAGAAUGUCUUCUUGGACACUUGACCCAUUCCUCCACCCUCUCUGCUGGUCAGGCUGUCUGGUUUGGAUGAGGGGUGUGUGGAGUGAUGGCCGAAGAAUGAGGUGACCUUCCAAGUGUUCUGACUCUCCGUCCAGAGGCCAAUUCUUUGGAUGGACCCUCGUAAUCACAGUAUUCAUUCAGCUUUCCAUUU